UACGUAGGGGGGCUAGCGUUGUCCGGAAUCAUUGGGCGUAAAGAGCGUGUAGGCGGCCCGGUAAGUCCGCUGUGAAAGUCGGGGGGCUCAACCCUCGGAUGCCGGUGGAUACUGUCGGGCUAGAGUACGGAAGAGGCAAGUGGAAUUCCUGGUGUAGCGGUGGAAUGCGCAGAUAUCAGGAGGAACACCUAUAGCGAAGGCAGCUUGCUGGGACGUUACUGACGCUAAGGCGCGAAAGCGUGGGGAGCGAACAGG
rnacentral:rRNA from 1 species